rnacentral:tRNA from 1 species
ACUUAGGUAGUUUAAUUAAAAUUUUGAUUUGUGGUGUCAAGGAUAUGGAAUAAUUUCAUCUUAGGUC